UAGGGAAUCUUCCGCAAUGGGCGAAAGCCUGACGGAGCAACGCCGCGUGAGUGAUGAAGGUCUUCGGAUCGUAAAACUCUGUUAUUAGGGAAGAACAAAUGUGUAAGUAACUAUGCACGUCUUGACGGUACCUAAUCAGAAAGCCACGGCUAACUACGUGCCAGCAGCCGCGGUAAUACGUAGGUGGCAAGCGUUAUCCGGAAUUAUUGGGCGUAAAGCGCGCGUAGGCGGUUUUUUAAGUCUGAUGUGAAAGCCCACGGCUCAACCGUGGAGGGUCAUUGGAAACUGGAAAACUUGAGUGCAGAAGAGGAAAGUGGAAUUCCAUGUGUAGCGGUGAAAUGCGCAGGGAUAUGGAGGAACACCAGUGGCGAAGGCGACUUUCUGGUCUGUAACUGACGCUGAUGUGCGAAAGCGUGGGGAUCAAACAGG
rnacentral:rRNA from 2 species